GCCAGGUGGGGGUUGGCCUUUUCUCCCAGGCAACCAGGUACAGGUUACAAGAGGAAACAGCCCCAAGCUGCACCAGAGAAGGUUCAGGUUGGUCAUUAGGAAGAAGCUCUUCACAGAAGAAGAAGCUCUUCACGAAAAGGCAGCAAUAUGCAAAGGACAAUAUGAAGCAGAAACAUCAGCGCUGGUCUUACCCACUCUUUAUCAUUUAGAGAACUCCACCACAUCCUGCUUUUUGAUGCUGAGAGCAAUUUGGGUAACCAAGAAUGGUGUGCCAGGGACAGAGAACAGCAAACUUACAGUAUCAUUCCUGUGAUUAUGAGGAUAUCAUUCUGCUCUCCACCUUUCUUCAAACAAAACAGUCAAAUGAAAAAAAACAAGUUAUUUUGAAAAUUUGUUAUAGAUGGACUGAGCAAUACUACAGAUUUUCCAAAUGCCAGAAGCACAUUCUAUAGGGAAACAAGUCAGUAUCAACUUAAGAUUAAUUUCCUUUCAGCACCGUCUUUUCCCUUGAGAAAAUAAAACAAUGUGAUUGAUAUUGAUUCAAAAGCAUGUUCCUUUUGAAUAACAUUUUAAAGUUAGAGCUUCUAUGGCAUGUGUAAUUAAUCAGAAGAAUAAAGUGAAAUUUUGAAUGGAAGACCUUCAUGCAGCUGGGAAGAAACAGAAAAAGCAUUUCUUCAUAUAGAACAAUGUGUUUUAUAAAAGCCUUGGUUUAACAAACAGAUCCGAGCAAAUGAUUCACAGCAUUUAAUUUAUUUGACAAGUUAAUUUUCUUUUCUUCCUCAUCAUGAAACAAAACAGAGGCAUAUUUCAUCUUUUGAAAAAGAAGUGAUGAAACUGUGAAACAGGAAAAUCUCCUUCAGCAAGUGACCAGGACAUUCCUGAUUUCAGGAAAUUUGUCAGUCUCUCUUAUCACACAAUACAGGUGGAGUCAAAAUAUGAGUUGUAGACUGCACUGAUUUACCCACAAAAAAAACCAGGAAAGAGUAUUUUAUCUAAAUACUCUUAUGAUAGCAAAAGGCUUGCCACCAAACCACAGAAUGGAAUAAUGAGAACCUGAAGACAUAAUUUUCCCAACUCCUCCAAAGAGAAAAAGGAUUUCAAAACUCUUUAAUCAUCCUUGGAAACUGUUUAUAGGAGUCCAUCAAAACUACUGGUAUGUAAUGAGAUUAGUUCCGUUGAUUAGAGCAUGGCCCAAGUGAGAGCAAGGUUGUGGGUUAGAUCCCUGCACGGGCCAUUCACUUAGGAGCUGGACUCAGUGCUCCUUGAGGGUCCCCUUCAAUGGAGAAUAUUCUGUGAUCUGUGACCUUUUUCUCUAAGUAGCUGUUUGUAAAACUUCUCUCUCCUCUAAGUUACAAGUGCAUUCCUAAUAGCUUUUCAGACAUUUUGCACCUAAUUGGAUUAGUCUUUCCAUGGUCAACAAAGAUUUCAGACUGAGGAAUCAGUCCCUACUAUCUUAAAUAUUAUGGAAACUCUCAUCAUGAUACUUUAGUUUUAACAGACCCAGCUAUAACAUUGCUAGAGGUUGUCCCUGUCUCUUCAAUAGCAGAAGCAUUUGGUGAGAGCAUAACCUGAAACCCUCAUCUCUUUCCCAUGUAGAUCCAAGCAUCAUUCUUACCAUCACUGCUAGGAAGCUCAUAGCGUAUAACUGGCUCCUUGUGCAGUCAACUGUGAAUGUUUUCCAUUAGAUUUCCAGUUCAAACUGUUGCUGCAAUUCUCAUCCCCACUUCAGUAACGAAAACUGAAUCUGUGUUUGAAAUACAAAUACGCUUAA